CGCACGGGAGGCAGGGGGACCCGCGCCGUUAUAUUUAUUCCGUCGCUCUCCCCGGAUCGCGACAGGUGUCCUCCUAUCCCGCCCCCCACCUGUUCCUCCCUCCCGAAACCCCGCGUCCUGGCGACCAAGAAAGGACCCGUCACUCUAGACAUGGCACUGAUCUGCCAACGCGACGCGCAGCGCGAGCCCCCCACGGUCACCGGAUCGCGCGGCAGCUGCUGCCCGCAGGUGCUAUUUUCACUCCAGCUCGCGGUCAUGGGCCGUUGCCUGUCAGGCGCCUUUCCGCGCGCUCCCACCCGGGCACAGUCGACUCGAAGCCAACCAUGAAAGCCACGGGUAGAGACGCAGGCGCGCAACCGGACGGCUUCCCGUCCGACUCGGAUGACUCAGACAGCGGCGACGGCUCCGACGAGUCCACGGGCGUUGGCGGCAGAGGCACAGACGCCAGAGACCCCUCCCGGAGGAGGGCGGCGGUGGGCGGGGGGAUCGACGGCAGCAGGCACCUGCCGGGCGUCACCAAGCAACGGCAGGCGGCGAACGCCCGGGAGCGGGAGCGGACCCACAGCGUGAACACGGCGUUCACCGCGCUGCGCGAGCUCAUCCCCACGGAGCCCGCAGACCGGAAGCUGUCCAAGAUCGAGACGCUGCGGCUGGCGUCCGGCUACAUCGCGCACCUGGCCAACGUGCUGUUCCUCGGGGCGGGGGAGGAGGAGCGCGAGGAGCGGCGGCCCUGUCUACGGUACCAGGGCUCCGUCGGCGCGUGCGGCUCCUCGCUGAGACCCAUCUGCACGUUCUGCCUCAGCGACCAGAGGAAAGCGCUCAGAGACGGCGGGAAACAGUCGGCCCUUUGAAGCGACGAGGAGCCACGAGACGUCAAUGUUUACAUGGAGGCGCGGGAUCGCGCCUUCACCUGUAUGCGUGUGUGUGUGAUCGCAAGUCACGCGCCAAACCUGACUAUGACGAUGUAAAUAUGAAUAUAGAAUCACUGAAAUGCACUUUCUGUCCCAAGCGCGAGGGGUCCCGGUCCCGCCUUUGUUACGGUGGUUACCGUCACCUGAGCCCACGAGGUUAAGUCCCCCCCCCCCCUUUUUUGAAGGACGUCUAUUUCGGGAAACGAGUCUCAGGCUCCAUUUUACAAUGGAAUAAUAUAAAGUAAAUAUUAAGAGAAACUCAAGAAGCGUCACCUGAGAUUCACACACAAAAGUAGUUUUUUCUUUUUCUGGAAAUAUUUCAAAGUCCGGUUCUAGCUGGUCCACUGACCGGAUUGGGAAUUGCUGUGUUAGACAACAAAGACUACCGCAUAAAAUACGAUAAAAUGUAAUUCCGGAGAAAAUUGAACCCAGGGUCUUUUUCGGCAUGAAGACCCACAAAAUAAGUCCUCCAGACACCUUUUUCGUUGAUUAUCGAGUAGGCCUAUAUAGCUUGCCCGCGAAUGCAACGGCCCAAAUGACUUCCAUGUUACUGGCUAGGGGCAGUGUGAAGGUUUCCAAAUUCACUUGCCUUUUACCCAUAAAACAAAGCAUCAACAACUUAGCGUACCGGGAGUUUAUUAAAUAAGACUGUUUUCCAAGUCUGUGCCUUACCGUGAAGCCUUACCUUUCCAGGAAAUCCACACAAGACGAUUACUUAAGAUACUAAAUAUUUGACAUCAUGUUUAACCAUACUAAAGUGUCAAAUAAUGACGUACAUGCAUUUCGACGUAUUCCCUGCUGACAGUCAGGGGUGGCUGUGCAGAGCGCUAAACACUCGGAACAACGUUUGCGAUUCACUUGUUCACAUUUCCGGGAAAUCAUCUACGUAGAGGCACUCCUGCCACGCCCCCAUAUGCCUGGUCAAAUCUGCCCGCGCGGUGGAGCUCGACUGCCCUUUGCAGGUCUUCCGGAAGGUAACCAAUCACAACGGAGUGUGGUUGGCAGGAGGGGGGCGAGGGGGCGGAG